rnacentral:rRNA from 1 species
AGAGUUUGAUCCUGGCUCAGGAUGAACGCUGGCGGCGUGCCUAACACAUGCAAGUCGAGCGAUUCUCUUCGGAGAAGAGCGGCGGACGGGUGAGUAACGCGUGGGUAACCUGCCUUGUACACACGGAUAACAUACCGAAAGGUAUGCUAAUACGAGAUAAUAUGCUUUUAUCGCAUGGUAGAAGUAUCAAAGCUUUUGCGGUACAGGAUGGACCCGCGUCUGAUUAGCUAGUUGGUAAGGUAACGGCUUACCAAGGCGACGAUCAGUAGCCGACCUGAGAGGGUGAUCGGCCACAUUGGAACUGAGACACGGUCCAAACUCCUACGGGAGGCAGCAGUGGGGAAUAUUGCACAAUGGGCGAAAGCCUGAUGCAGCAACGCCGCGUGAGCGAUGAAGGCCUUCGGGUCGUAAAGCUCUGUCCUCAAGGAAGAUAAUGACGGUACUUGAGGAGGAAGCCCCGGCUAACUACGUGCCAGCAGCCGCGGUAAUACGUAGGGGGCUAGCGUUAUCCGGAAUUACUGGGCGUAAAGGGUGCGUAGGUGGUUUCUUAAGUCAGAGGUGAAAGGCUACGGCUCAACCGUAGUAAGCCUUUGAAACUGGGAAACUUGAGUGCAGGAGAGGAGAGUGGAAUUCCUAGUGUAGCGGUGAAAUGCGUAGAUAUUAGGAGGAACACCAGUUGCGAAGGCGGCUCUCUGGACUGUAACUGACACUGAGGCACGAAAGCGUGGGGAGCAAACAGGAUUAGAUACCCUGGUAGUCCACGCCGUAAACGAUGAGUACUAGCUGUCGGAGGUUACCACCUUCGGUGGCGCAGCUAACGCAUUAAGUACUCCGCCUGGGAAGUACGCUCGCAAGAGUGAAACUCAAAGGAAUUGACGGGGACCCGCACAAGCGGUGGAUGAUGUGGUUUAAUUCGAUGCAACGCGAAAAACCUUACCUACCCUUGACAUGUCAGGAACUUUGCAGAGAUGCGAAGGUGCUCGAAAGAGAGCCUGAACACAGGUGCUGCAUGGCCGUCGUCAGCUCGUGUCGUGAGAUGUUGGGUUAAGUCCCGCAACGAGCGCAACCCUUGUCAUUAGUUGCCACGAAAGGGCACUCUAGUGAGACUGCCGGUGACAAACCGGAGGAAGGUGGGGAUGACGUCAGGUCCUCAUGGCCCUUAUGGGUAGGGCUACACACGUCAUACAAUGGCCGGUACAGAGGGUUGCCAACCCGCGAGGGGGAGCCAAUCCCACAAAGCCGGUCGUAGUCCGGAUCGUAGUCUGCAACUCGACUACGUGAAGUCGGAAUCGCCAGUAAUCGCGGAUCAGCUUGCCGCGGUGAAUACGUUCCCGGGUCCUGUACACACCGCCCGUCACACCAUGGGAGCGGGUUCUGCCAGAAGUAGUUAGCCUAACCGCAAGGAGGGCGAUUACCACGGCAGGGUUCGUGACUGGGGUGAAGUCGUAACAAGGUAACCGUA